AAGCGUCGUUCGGACCGCCUUG
rnacentral:snRNA from 1 species